rnacentral:rRNA from 1 species
GUUCCUAGUACGAGAGGACCGGAAUGGACAUACCUCUGGUGUAUCUGUUGUCACGCCAGUGGCAGCGCAGAGUAGCUAUGUAUGGAAUGGAUAACCGCUGAAAGCAUCUAAGCGGGAAGCCAACUCCAAGAUGAGUUUUCCCUUUCUUUAUGAAGUAAGAUCCCAGAAAGACUAUCUGGUUGAUAGGCUAGAGGUGGAAGCAUGGUGACAUGUUGAGCUGACUAGUACUAAUAGAUCGAGGAUUUAAUCCCAUUU